CCUACGGGCGGCAGCAGUGAGGAAUAUUGGUCAAUGGUCGGGAGUCUGAACCAGCCAAGCCGCGUGAAGGAUGACUGUACAAUGUAUCGUAAACUUCUUUUAUAAAGGAACAAAACCAGGCACGCGUCCCCGUAUGCGUGUACCUUAUGAAAAAGCAUCGGCUAACUCCGUGCCAGCAGCCGUGGUAAUACGGAGGAUGCGAGCGUUAUCCGGAUUUAUUGGGUUUAAAGGGGGCGCAGGUGGGUUGUUAAGUCAGUUGUGAAAGCUCGGGGCUCAACCCCGACAUUGCAUUUGAUACUGGCAGUCUCGAGUAGGAUUGAGGUAGGCGGAAUGCGCGGUGUAGCGGUGAAAUGCAUAGAUAUCGCGAAGAACCCCGAUUGCGAAGGCAGCUUGC
rnacentral:rRNA from 1 species